AUACGUAGGGUGCGAGCGUUGUCCGGAAUUACUGGGCGUAAAGAGCUCGUAGGUGGUUUGUCGCGUCGUCUGUGAAAUUCCGGGGCUUAACUCCGGGCGUGCAGGCGAUACGGGCAUAACUUGAGUACUGUAGGGGAGACUGGAAUUCCUGGUGUAGCGGUGAAAUGCGCAGAUAUCAGGAGGAACACCGGUGGCGAAGGCGGGUCUCUGGGCAGUAACUGACGCUGAGGAGCGAAAGCAUGGGUAGCGAACAGGAUUAGAUACCCUGGUAGGCCAUGCCGUAAACGGUGGGCGCUAGGUGUAGGGGUCUUCCACGACUUCUGUGCCGUAGCUAACGCAUUAAGCGCCCCGCCUGGGGAGUACGGCCGCAAGGCUAAAACUCAAAGGAAUUGACGGGG
rnacentral:rRNA from 1 species